CAGAGUCCGGAAGUCUGGAAAAAGGGUCUCCAGGCAGGACUUCAGGCAUUCCUUUCACCGGCGCCGGGCGUUACACAGGGAGGUGACCAUCCCUGGAAAUGGCCCAGAACUGAGUGCUGAGCUGCUGGCCUCCCAUGAAGACCUUCGUCUCCAGCUCCUGCAUCCGCCUGCCUCGACACGUGUGUGCUGGGACCUCUGCGAUGGCCCUUGGGCUUAUCACAGUAAGAGCCCUGGAGCUCAUCAGCCUUGAACAUCAACUCUCAGGGAUCCACGACCACAGAGUGGCAGCCAGUCAAAGCAACUGCGUCCACUUGGCGUGCAAAUCAGUUGGCGUGCACAGCCCCCCGUGACUGCAGCCUGCAAGCCUGAGGAUCGGACACACUGCAGAGACUCUCUCCCUUGGAACGAAAUGAAGCCGAAAAGUAGGAUACGAUGUCACAACAGCAGUUCCAUAACAGACAGGGGAAGACAGUCAAAGCAACACAGUACGGGCCCCUCUCAAGGCAGAGGACGUGAAGAAAUGUCAGCUGAAUGCAGCGAUCUGCUCUCCCCUCUGGCCCAAGCUCCACAUCUCCUCGCUGACCGCACUUUGAGUAGCAAGGCCAGAAACGACCUGGGGCCUGAACCCUACCAAGCCUGAUGUUCUUUCCAGAAGAAGAAGGAACGCGGUGGGUUUGGGAGAAGGAGAGAUUGGACACGGACUGCGGUGUGUCUCACUUGCACCCAUCAAGGGGCGGGAGGAGGUAGCCACGGGCCACAGAUGAUCCCGCCGCACAGGAUUAUUCACAGGUCUCACCCAUGAGGAUUUCCCAUCCAGACCCAGAGAAAGUUCCAGAAGCUUCUUGAUAUUGCUACCCUCUGUACCCUCAGGAAGACUUAAGAGCCUAGACCUCUUAGCCGCACUCAGGCUCUGCAAGUGGCCAGAGUGUGUGCGGGGCGGAUGUCGGUAUGAUGCCUCUGGACAUCCCCUCUCAGCUAAAAUCAGAGGCCCAGGCCUCUCAUUCACUCAUUGAGUUGUUUUUUCACUUAAGCAUCCUCAGACCUCUGCCAGCAGCCAAAGGUCGUUAUCUAAUAUUCUCCUCUUUUAUCUUUUACACAAACAAUACUUUGCAGGAUUAAAAACCAUCAUUAUAAGAUUAUGACACAAA